UAUGUGAUCGUCUCUCGCAUAUCAAUAAGCGGAGGAAAAGAAACUAACAAGGAUUCCCCUAGUAACGGCGAGUGAAGCGGGAAGAGCUCAAAUUUGAAAUCUUAAAGGGUUUCCCUUUACGAAUUGUAGUUUAAAGAAGUGUUUUCUGUUUAGGUUUUGGUAAAAGUUCUUUGGAAUAGGACAUCAUAGAGGGUGAGAAUCCCGUAUUUGACCUUUACUUUCAACUUUGUGAUACACUUUCAAAGAGUCGGAUUGUUUGGGAAUGCAGUCCAAAAUGGGUGGUAAAUUUCAUCUAAAGCUAAAUAUUGGCGAGAGACCGAUAGCGAACAAGUACCGUGAGGGAAAGAUGAAAAGAACUUUGAAAAGAGAGUUAAACAGUACGUGAAAUUGUCAAAAGGGAAGCGUUUGACACCAGUGUUGUUUUUCUGAAAAUCAAUUAAAGAACUGUUUAUGCUAAGCUGUUUAGACUUUAUCAGCUAAUCUGUUUAGUUUUGAGCUUUUCUUUAAUGCACUUUUCAGUUAACAAGUCAACAUCAAUUUCUUUUGCUGUAAAAAAGCUUGAGGAAGGUGGCUUGAGAUUCGUCUUAAGUGUUUAUAGCCUCUUGCCUAUGCAGUCGGAGAGAUUGAGGUCUGCAGCGUAGAUCCUUCGGGGCUAAAUGCAUUUGUGCUAAGUUAUAGCAUUUUAUAGACAACUUGUUGACUAUGAUUUGUCUUGUAGCUUACUCGCUUAUGUUAUUUUACCUACGCUUAGGAUGUUGACGAGACUGUCGAUCUC
rnacentral:rRNA from 1 species